CGUUCGUUGGUCUAGAGGUAUGAUUCCGUCGUUUGGGGUGCGGCAGGUCCGGGUUCGAUCCCGACGAGCCC
rnacentral:tRNA from 1 species